rnacentral:rRNA from 1 species
CCUACGGGAGGCAGCAGUGAGGAAUAUUGGUCAAUGGGCGCGAGCCUGAACCAGCCAAGUAGCGUGAAGGAUGACUGCCCUACGGGUUGUAAACUUCUUUUAUCAAGGAAUAAAGUGAGGCACGUGUGCCUUUUUGUAUGUACUUUAUGAAUAAGGAUUGGCUGACUCCGUUCCUGCAGCCGCGGUAAUACGGAGGAUCCGAGCGUUAUCCGGAUUUAUUGGGGUUAAAGGGAGCGUAGAUGGGUUGUUAAGUCAGUUGUGAAAGUUUGCGGCUCAAUCGUAAAAUUGCAAUUGAUACUGGCAGCCGUGAGUACAGUUGAGGGAGGCGGAAUUCGUGGUGUAGCGGUGAAAUGCUUAGAUAUCACGAAGAACGCCGAUUGCGAAGGCAGCUUACUAAACUGCCACUGACAUUGAUGCUCGAAAGUGUGGGUAUCAAACAGGAUUAGAUACCCGGGUAGUC